CUUUGGGUUUCCAUUCUGGUACUAUGUAUAUAACCAUUAACCACCGCUGUUCACAGCUUAAGUUUAUACACACAGCCGGAACGAGUAGAAAAGAAGAAUUUACUGUUACGGUGACAGUAAGAAACAAUACCAACAACACGACUACUAUGGCAUCUACACGAGUAAUCUUGGUCUGUAUCGUCAUUGUUACCAUUGUGUUGGUCACAGAGGGACGAAUGUGUCAAAUGGACCCUGCCACCAUGACAUGCAACGACGUUGUGCUGCGAGGGGGUCCGUUUAAGGGCGUACCCAGGUGCUCGAGCACGGGAAAACAAUGCCAGUUGAAAAUGCGACGCCAUUCAAUUCAGUGUAUGUGCGAAGAUAAACGGAUUGGGGUUCAUCUACAUUAGAAUAAUAAGUGUUUUAUCAACUUUACGGAAACCGUCCAAUAUCAGUGAUAUGGCCCCACAUAUUACAGGAAGAUUCAAACAGUUGUUCAGUUAAUUCCUGAAUGAUAUAUUAUGUCAGGAUGUAAUUGCUUAAAUCUUGUAUGGUCAAAACACGUAAUUAAGAGAGUUGUCUAGACAAAAACUAACUCUGAAUAAAUUACAAAAAUGUUUAAUGAAAAAUUUUUUUUAAAUAGGCUCACAAUACAUAUGUUUCAUAUUUGACAUUUUACAUGAGUACGGAGAAUUCUCAUUCUGUGUCGUUAAUUCGAGAUUCUUCAUCUUGUAAUAAUCCGUACUUUAUUAAUAGUUGUCUGUACGAUACAGUUGGUCAUGAUACUCAUUCUUAAAUAUGUUAUAUAUCACAUUUAAUUGAUUCAAUAUUUAUGUGCAUUGGUUUUGUUUCAUAUAUUUGAUGUUUUUAUGAUGCUAAUUUACAAGUGCCAGUAUUUGUGUACAAACGUUUGCAUUUUUGAAUACGGGUCAAUUGUAGUUUUACAUUUAUUCUUAAAACACAUAUUUAUUUACUAAAAUAUAAGGUUUGCACUUGAAAUGCGUACACGUGUGUUAUCCAAGAUACAUUUGGAAUGAUCAUAUGUGUAUUUCUGAAAAUAAAUUAAAACAAAAGUA